rnacentral:miRNA from 1 species
AAUAGCAGGAUAUUCUAAUUUUUCAGGUAUCACCUGUGUGUAUAUAUAUAUAUAUAUAUACACACAGGUGAUACUCGAAAAAUUAGAAUAUCCUGC